rnacentral:rRNA from 1 species
UACGGGGGGUGCGAGCGUUGUCCGGAAUCACUUGGGCGUAAAGGGCGCGUAGGUGGUUUGAUAAGGGUGUGGUGAAAGCCCGGGGCUCAACCCCGGGUCUGCCGUGCCGACUGUCAAACUCGAGGGCUGUAGAGGCAGACGGAAUUCCGGGUGUAGCGGUGGGAAUGCGUAGAGAUCCGGAGGAGACCGGUGGCGAAGGCGGUCUGCUGGC